AAUUCUGUGCAAUGUUUGUCAGUAUCAUUUCCUCAUGUUGUAUCAAGACUAGAAGCUCUAUAAAUAUCUAGUGAUUCUGCAGUGAAGGCUACAUUGUAGCCUUGUAGAAGAAUCAUCCGUCCUCUUUGCUGGCUAAGAACACGGAUCACUCUUCAUCAGUUUGCCUUCAGCUUGCCCCAUCACUUCAUCUCCAUCAUGAAGUUGUCGGCUGUGUUCCUGAUGGUUUUCUCCAUGAUGGCUCUGACCAGUGGUUCCGAGAACCGUUUUUGCAAUUUUAAAAGUUUCUGAGUAGAAAUGAGAACAUAAGACGUCGAGGACAGACAGCUUUACCUCUCCUCCUGUCUCUGUAUAUGAGUCCCAGUAGGAUGGUGGACAACAGGUAAGGUAUUCCCACUAUGAGGUGACACAACAGUCUGGAACCAGGAAAUGAAACUGGGGCUGUGGGCAAAGCUGAAGAUGCUGGUGACAGAGAUGCUGUAGAUAAAAACAAUAUUUUCUUUUUAAAUUCAAGUGAUGGUGUUUAUGUAAAAAAUAUUUUAUGGAAAUGAUCUGACUUCAGACAGCUCUGAAAUGGAGGUCUAAUAAAUCUAUCAAAUGCUGCAGGGAUAUGAAGGAUUCUCCUCACUCA